GCCCCAGCCUAGUACCUACAGUGCCUACACUACGCACUAGGCUACCAGUGCGUAUCCUGAGCCCUGUUCUUCCUCCACGCACUCUCCCUGUAGUGCGUGUAUAUAGCCCGGUGCCUCCAGUUCCGGCACCACGCACUACGUCGUUUUCUUGUUUUGUAUUUUUGAAAGUGUUUUGUUUUUUUCGUGUUGCCAUCAGCGUUAUAAAUAAAAAGAUGGCUUAUUUCCCUCAAGCUGCAUUUUGGUCUGAAGAUCCUUCUCUCCUCACCUCGUCCGAGGAUGAGGAGAGAGACAGCCGUUACACUUGGUGGUUCUUGCAGGAACCUAACUACCAAACUGAAACAUUUGGAUUUGAGAUGACAGCAAGUGCAGGCAUUUAACUGGAAAAUUGAAAGAUCUCCUCAAUUUAAGAAAAUGGACACAAUUCAAUGGAUAUCCAUCAACAAAGAGGACUCUGUCACAGCAGCCAUCUUCCUCCUCCCUUACCUCUCCAAUGAAGAUCCCAGAGCCCUCAUUAUGGACAAGACUUCACCUUCCCUACACCUCUGAUGAAUAUAACAGGAAACCUGUUAGAUCACCAUGCAUUGCAAAAUUAUUCUGGCUAUUCAUAGCCUACGGAGGACAUCAACAGCAACACGCCAGACUCGUUUUAAAGGGUUCUUCAAAUAACUUAUAGGGGUUAACCUACCCGUUUCAUUUUGAAGAAUCCCUGAAGGAUCCUCCUGGAAUCUUUUAUUUUUAGUGUAACAUGGCGUGACGCAACCAAGUGACGGAGGUGCAACCCAUAAAUAGAGAAAAUAUGAUCUGGGUCCAGAUAUGGUGUACUUUUGUGUGACGUGGUUGUGUGAAACUCUACACCUUUUCUCUCUAUGUUCCCUAAAGAAAAGGUAAUAGCCAGUAUGUGUUGUCAAUUGUGUCACGUUCUGACCCUAGUUCUUUUGUUAUUUCCUUGUUUUAGUGUGGUCAGAGCGUGAGUUGGGUGGGUUAUCUAUGUUGUUUUUUUUCGUUUGGCCUGGUAUGAUUCUCAAUCAGAGGCAGGUGUCUUUAGUUGUCUCUGAUUGAGAAUCAUACUUAGGUAGCCUUUUUUCACCUGGGUUUCGUGGGUGGUUAUUUUCUGUGUCAGUGUUUGUCCCACACGGAACUGUUUCGGUUUGUAGUUCACGUAUCGUUUAUUGUUUUGUUUCUGUGUUCGUUUGUCUCAUUAAAAUAUA